UUAUGGUGUGUCCAGGAAGUGCCUCAGUUUGGCCCAUGCCCGAGGCAACCAGAGACAGCAGCAGCAGAAAAAAAAAGCAGUGGACGGCCUCUGAUCCCAGCAGUCGCCUCAGUAUGAAUGAAGGCCAUGUGUAUAUACAUAUGUGCUGCCCACAUUGAUGUUUUGGAGUGCACGCACAUGUGAGGAGUUAGUGGUAUAUUAGGCCCUGGCAUGAUCUGCCCGAGGACAUCAGGCUGGCUGAGUCAGUGAUUUCUUUUAAGUACCUUCUUAAAACAUUUUUUAAUCGAUCUUUAAUCCCACAGAGACAUUUUCAGUUCUUAGCUCAUAAAAUGAUGUUUUGGAGACACAUGGUUUUCACAAGACUGAGUCUAAUGGGGGAAUAAAAAUGUCAGAAAAUAAAUAAGUUCAACUAAGAAAAUAACUUAAGUAACUGAGCAGUUAAUUGAAUUGAUAAAAUGUUGAAAAAUCCCAAUAAAAA